rnacentral:rRNA from 1 species
ACGGAGGGUGCGAGCGUUGUCCGGAAUCACUGGGCGUAAAGGGCGCGUAGGUGGCCGAGCAAGGUCGCGGUGAAAGCCCGGGGCUCAACCCCGGGUCGGCCGUGGCAACUACUUGGCUUGAGCACUGUAGGGGCGGGUGGAAUUCCGGGUGUAGCGGUGGAAUGCGUAGAGAUCCGGAAGAACACCGGUGGCGAAGGCGGUCGACUGGGCCAGUACUGACGCUGAGGCGCGACAGCGUGGGGAGCAAACAGGA